rnacentral:tRNA from 1 species
CCUGGUGGAUCCAAUGGUAAAGAAUCUGCCUGCAAUGCAGAAGACCCAGGUUUGAUCCCUGGGUCAGGA